rnacentral:rRNA from 1 species
AUGAACGCUAGCUACAGGCUUAACACAUGCAAGUCGAGGGGCAGCAUUUUAGUUUGCUUGCAAACUAAAGAUGGCGACCGGCGCACGGGUGAGUAACACGUAUCCAACCUGCCGAUAACUCGGGGAUAGCCUUUCGAAAGAAAGAUUAAUAUCCGAUAGUAUAUUAAAACCGCAUGGUUUUACUAUUAAAGAAUUUCGGUUAUCGAUGGGGAUGCGUUCCAUUAGUUUGUUGGCGGGGUAACGGCCCACCAAGACAACGAUGGAUAGGGGUUCUGAGAGGAAGGUCCCCCACAUUGGAACUGAGACACGGUCCAAACUCCUACGGGAGGCAGCAGUGAGGAAUAUUGGUCAAUGGACGAGAGUCUGAACCAGCCAAGUAGCGUGAAGGAUGACUGCCCUAUGGGUUGUAAACUUCUUUUAUAUGGGAAUAAAGUAUUCCACGUGUGGGAUUUUGUAUGUACCAUAUGAAUAAGGAUCGGCUAACUCCGUGCCAGCAGCCGCGGUAAUACGGAGGAUCCGAGCGUUAUCCGGAUUUAUUGGGUUUAAAGGGAGCGUAGGUGGAUUGUUAAGUCAGUUGUGAAAGUUUGCGGCUCAACCGUAAAAUUGCAGUUGAAACUGGCAGUCUUGAGUACAGUAGAGGUGGGCGGAAUUCGUGGUGUAGCGGUGAAAUGCUUAGAUAUCACGAAGAACUCCGAUUGCGAAGGCAGCUCACUAGACUGCAACUGACACUGAUGCUCGAAAGUGUGGGUAUCAAACAGGAUUAGAUACCCUGGUAGUCCACACAGUAAACGAUGAAUACUCGCUGUUUGCGAUAUACAGUAAGCGGCCAAGCGAAAGCAUUUAGUAUUCCACCUGGGGAGUACGCCGGCAACGGUGAAACUCAAAGGAAUUGACGGGGGCCCGCACAAGCGGAGGAACAUGUGGUUUAAUUCGAUGAUACGCGAGGAACCUUACCCGGGCUUAAAUUGCAUUUGAAUAAUCUGGAAACAGGUUAGCCGCAAGGCAAAUGUGAAGGUGCUGCAUGGUUGUCGUCAGCUCGUGCCGUGAGGUGUCGGCUUAAGUGCCAUAACGAGCGCAACCCUUAUCUUUAGUUACUAACAGGUCAUGCUGAGGACUCUAGAGAGACUGCCGUCGUAAGAUGUGAGGAAGGUGGGGAUGACGUCAAAUCAGCACGGCCCUUACGUCCGGGGCUACACACGUGUUACAAUGGGGGGUACAGAAGGCAGCUACCUGGCGACAGGAUGCUAAUCCCAAAAACCUCUCUCAGUUCGGAUCGAAGUCUGCAACCCGACUUCGUGAAGCUGGAUUCGCUAGUAAUCGCGCAUCAGCCAUGGCGCGGUGAAUACGUUCCCGGGCCUUGUACACACCGCCCGUCAAGCCAUGAAAGCCGGGGGUACCUGAAGUACGUAACCGCAAGGAGCGUCCUAGGGUAAAACUGGUAAUUGGGGCUAA